CGAGAGCGAAGACGUACUGCAAGAGACCAACAGGAGAACAUGGAGGAGGACAUGGACAGAAUGAGAGCACCACAGAUGGAAUGGAACAGACAGAGGAGCAGACAGAGCAACACAGAGAAACUCAAACACCGUUUGCUAGCGGCAACAGUGGGAGAAGGUAAAACUUCUCCCUUGCGCACUAUGCCCCAGGAGAGGAGCCAAACGAUAAAGAAGCUGGUUGCCAGCGGAGACCUGUGGACAUUUUAAUCCCUCACCCCUGUUCUGUUGACUAUUUUUUUGCUUGACUUUUAGUUUGUUGUGUUUUAGUUUUAAAUUCUUUUAAGGAGGA